ACCUGGGUGGCUUAGUGGAUUAAGCAUCUGACUUCGGCUCAGGUCAUGAUCCUUGCAAUUCGUGAGUUCAAGCCCCGCAUCAGGCU
rnacentral:tRNA from 1 species